rnacentral:lncRNA from 1 species
GCAGGGCCUCAGCGAAUACAAGAGAGAGAGUUCUCUCUCAAUUUUUUUUUUUUAAAAAUGAUGAAUCUGAUUUUUUUGUUUUUUUUUUUAGUUUUUUCUAAUAUUUAUACUAAAAGUAAAACGACACCGUUUUGAGAUCCCUUGACCCGCGCAGCGACCCGGCCCAAGGGGAAGGAUCUGCGCGUUCUGCCUUAGGGGGAUAUUUGCGCC